rnacentral:rRNA from 1 species
GAUGAACGCUGGCGGCGUGCCUAACACAUGCAAGUCGAGCGAACAGACGAGAAGAUCGUUCUUUUGACGUUAGCGGCGGACGGGCGGGUAACGAGUGGAUAACAAUCCUAUUAGUCUGGGAGAAUUUCGGGGAAAAGGUGAUAAUAAUAGAUAAUAUAAUGAACCGCUGAAAGCAAUAGUUCAACAUGCUUUGCCUGUCUCAUAUAGCUGGUUCCGCGUCGCAUUAGCUAGUUGGUAAGGGCACGGCUUACCAAGGAAACGAUGCGUAGCCGACCUGAGAGGAUGAUCAGCCACACUGGAACUGAGACACGGUCCAGACUCCUACGGGAGGCAGCAGUGGGGAAUAUUGCGCAAUGGGCGCAAGCCUGAUGGAGCCACACCGCGUGGGUGAUGAAGGUCUUCGGAUCGUAAAGCUCUUUUAUUAGGAAAGAACAGAUGUGGAUGUAUCUCCGCACGUUCUGACGGUACCCAAAGAGUAAGCACCGGCUAACUUCGUG